rnacentral:rRNA from 1 species
GGCAAAAGAGAGCUUGAUUGCAAGACAUACAGGUCGAGCAAGGAUGAAAAUCGGACUUAGUGAUCCGGUGGUUCUGCGUGGAAGGGCCAUCGCUCAACGGAUAAAAGCUACCCUGGGGAUAACAGGCUUAUCUCCCCCAAGAGUCCACAUCGACGGGGAGGUUUGGCACCUCGAUGUCGGCUCAUCACAUCCUGGGGCUGUAGUAGGUCCCAAGGGUUGGGCUGUUCGCCCAUUAACGUGGUACGCGAGCUGGGUUCAGAACGUCGGGAGACAGUUCGGUCCCUAUCCGUCGCAGGCGUAGGAAAUUUGAGAAGACCUGUCCUUAGUACGAGAGGACCGGGAUGGACGUACCUCUGGUGUACCAGUUGUCCUGCCAAGGGCAUGGCUGGGUAGCUAUGUACGGAAUGGAUAAGCGCUGAAAGCAUCUAAGCGCGAAGCCAACUUCAAGAUAAGAUUUCCCACCGCAAGGGUAAGACCCCAGAAAGACUAUCUGGUUGAUAGGUCGAAGGUGUAAGUGCAGCAAUGUAUUUAGCUUAUCGAUACUAAUAGGUCGAGGACUUGACCAAU